rnacentral:rRNA from 1 species
UACAGAGGGGGCAAGCGUUGUUCGGAAUUACUGGGCGUAAAGGGCGCGUAGGCGGCCGCCUAAGUCAGACGUGAAAUCCCUCGGCUCAACCGGGGAACUGCGUCUGAUACUGGGUGGCUUGAAUCCGGGAGAGGGAUGUGGAAUUCCAGGUGUAGCGGUGAAAUGCGUAGAUAUCUGGAGGAACAUCGGUGGCGAAGGCGGCAUCCUGGACCGGUAUUGACGCUGAGGCGCGAAAGCCAGGGGAGCAAACGGG